GACGGGGGGGGCAAGUGUUCUUCGGAAUUACUGGGCGUAAAGGGCGCGCAGGCGGCUCUGCAAGUCAGAUGUGAAAGCCCCGGGCUUAACCUGGGAACUGCAUUUGAUACUCUGGAGCUUGAGUACGGGAGAGGAUAGUGGAAUUCCCAGUGUAGAGGUGAAAUUCGUAGAUAUUGGGAAGAACACCGGUGGCGAAGGCGGCUAUCUGGACCGUAACUGACGCUGAGGCGCGAAAGCGUGGGGAGCAAACAGG
rnacentral:rRNA from 1 species